rnacentral:lncRNA from 1 species
AUUUCUCCCUUUUGGAAUGGGAGUAUUUACCCAAUGCCUGUACCCCCAUGGCCACUUCCAGCAUCGAUGGUGUCAGGUCAGGUCCCCUGGGUAGAAGAAAUGGAGUCAGUUAGGAGUGCUGGAGACUGAGUAAGAGAUGGCAGCUGAGGCUUUACUACCCCAGGGAGGGGAUGCCACCAGAGAAGGCAGACAACCAAGAUGGCAACUCUCAAUUUUUGUGCUCCUAAUUUUCCCAUGUCAGACAAGAAAAAAAAAUUUUUUUUUAAAGAAAAAGCUUUAGGUUGCAAAAAUCUAGGCCUUUCAACUUUAAAAUCCUAUCCUUGAAAGCUUUGGAGAAUAAAGCUUAUGCAUAAACAGUAGAUUUGGAAACAGA